CCAUCGGGUAAUGCCGGGCACUCUGGAAGGACUGCCAUCGACAAGAAUGGAGGAAGGUGGGGAUGACGUCAAGUCAUCAUGGCCCUUAUGACCAGGGCUACACACGUACUACAAUGGCCGAUACAAAGGGCAGCGACACUGCGAGGUGAAGACCAAUCCCGUAAAAUCGGUCUCAGUCCGGAUUGGAGUCUGCAACUCGACUGCGUGAAGUCGGAAUCGCUAGUAAUCGUGAAUCAGAAUGUCACGGUGAAUACGUUCCCGGGCCUU
rnacentral:rRNA from 1 species